rnacentral:rRNA from 1 species
UGCGUAGACGGUUCGACAAGUCAGAUGUGAAAGCCCGGGGCUCAACCCCGGGACUGCAUUUGAAACUGCCGGACUAGAGUGCAGGAGAGGUAAGUGGAAUUCCUAGUGUAGCGGUGAAAUGCGUAGAUAUUAGGAGGAACACCAGUGGCGAAGGCGGCUUACUGGACUGUAACUGACGUUGAGGCACGAAAGCGUGGGGAGCAAACA